AACACAACUCUAAAAAUAAAAUAAGUCAUACAAGCAUCAUAUUACAAGUCAGGGGCCUCGAGGGCUCGAAUACAAGAGCUCGAUCAUAGACGAGUCAAUGGAAGCAACAAUAUCUGAGUAUAGACAUAAGUUAAACAAGUUUGCCUUAAGAAGGCUAGCACAAACUGGGAUACAUAUCGAAAGAGGUGCAGGCCUCCUGCUUGGGAUCCUCCUAAACUACUCCUGGUCGUCGUCAGCGGCCUGCACGUAGUAGUAGGCACCUCCAGUGCAGUAGGAGUCAUCAUCGACGGUGGCAUCUGGCUCCUGGACUCCAUCGUCUGGUCGCAACAAUCGGGUAUAGAAAGGGGAAAAGGGGGGAGAAAAGCAACCGUGAGUACUCAUCCAAAGUACACGCAAGCAAGGAGCUACACUACAUAUGUAUGCAUUGGUAUCAAAUGGAGAAGGGUAGCAUAUGUGGACUGAACUGCAGAAUGCCAGAAUAAGAGGGGGAUAGCUAGUCCUAUCGAAGACUACAUUUCUGGCAGCCUCCAUCUUGAAGCAGUAGAAGAGAGUAGAUGGUAAGUUCACCAUGUAUCAUCGCAUAGCAUAUUCCUACCCGGCGAUCCUCCCCUCGUCGCCAUGUUAGAGAGCGAUCACCGGGUUGUAUCUGGCACUUGGAAGGGUGUGUUUUAUUAAGUAUCCGGUUCUAGUUGUCAUAAGGUCAAGGUACAACUCUGGGUCGUCCUUUUACCGAGGGACACGGCUAUUCGAAUAGAUAAACUUCCCUGCAGGGGUGCACCACAUUUCCCAACAUGCUCGAUCCCCUUUGGCCGGACACACUUUACUGGGUCAUGCCCGGCCUCGAAAAAUCAACACGUCGCAGCCCCACCUAGGCACAACAGAGAGGUCAGCAUGCCGGUCUAAAUCCUAUGGCUCAGGGGUCUGGGCCCAUCGCCCAUUGCACACCUGCAUGUUGCGAGGGCGGCCGGAAGCAGACCUAGCCCCCUUAAUACAAGAGCAGGCUUGCGGUCCAAUCCGGCGCGCGCCGCUUGGUCGCUGACGUCACGAAGGCCUCGGCUGAUACCACGACGUCAAGUGUCCAUAACUGUUCCCGCGUACUUGGUUAGUGCGUACAGGCCAGUGGCCAGACUCAGAUUAAAUACCAAGAUCUCGUUAAGCGUGUUAUUUUGAAAUAACCGCGGACGCCGACCAGGGCCAGGCCCACCUCUCUCCUAGGUGGUCUCAACCUACCAUGUCGCUCCGCCACAAAGAUCCACUCAGAGGGCCGUCGGGACAAAUGUCCUUUCGGACACAAUUCGGGAAUCACUCAUGGGUACUCUUCGAGCCGACCCGUCUUUAGUCACCACAAGUAUCAUAUAUUAUGUAUAAGUAUAUACCCGUGAUCACCUCCCGAGUGAUCACGGCCCGAUAGUAUAGCAUGGCAGACAGACAAGAAUGUAGGGCCACUGAUGAUAAACUAGCAUCCUAUACUAAGCAUUUAGGAUUGCACGUAAGGUAUCAAUAACUGUAGCAACAAUGAUAGGCUAUGCAUCAGGAUAGGAUUAACGGAAAGUAGUAACAUGCUACACUACUCUAAUGCAAGCAGUAGAGAGAAGAAUAGGCGAUAUCGGAUGAUCAGGGGGGGCUUGCCUGGUUUCUCUGGCAAGAAGGAGGGGUCAUCUUCAAUGUAGUCGAACACACGGACAUCGGCAGCAGUCUCGGAGUCUACCGGAAAGAAGUAAAGAAGGGGGAACGCAAUAAAUAAUAGAGCAACCAAAUGUAACACAAAGCAAGAUGCGGCAAUACAUUGUGCUAGGGGUGACCUAACAUAGGGAUAGGUGAUACCGGCGAAGGGGGGAAACAUCCGGGAAAUAUUCCCGGUGUUUCGUGUUUUUGGACAGAUGAACCGGAGGGGGGAAGUUACGUGUACGCUAUGCUAGGGACAUGUGACGGAUGAACGGACUGCGUAUUCGAGUUCGUCUCGUCGUUCUGAGUAACUUCCAUCUACAAAGUUUUUUCAUCCGAGCUACAGUUUAUUUUCUAUGAUUUUUCGAAGUUUAAACAAUAUUAUGGAAUUCCUGAAAAUUGGCCAAGUAUGAGAAUUGUUCAGUAUUUUUUAAACUUCACUUGGUUGUUUUCCGAAGGCUAUAGCUAAUGUUAUGUAGUUCUAACGAAAACACCACAUAUUAGUGUUUUACUCUACAUCAACAGCACUACAAGGCCAUGCCAUUAGAUAGCCUGAAUAGCUACUGUAACAGGUCCAUUUACAGCUCUGAAGUAGUUAAGAUAGUAAACCUCUUUUUCAGUUUUCUCUCCUAACAGAACAUAGACUUUUGUCAUUUUUAUAGGAAUUAAUCCAUGCCAUAUUUGAAUUUGGUCCAAUGGAAUAAUUUGAAGGUUGUCAUGUGUACUCCUAACACAAAUUAAUUUCAGCGAAGUUAGACUUUGUUUGACCAUAGUUUUGUUGCCAUCCAGAGAGCUAAGAAGGUAGAAAUAGCAAAAGCUAGCUAGCCCUACAGUAACAUUCCUAUAGCAGCGGCAGCAGAGCAGCGAAACACAGCAGCAGGAGUGGCCGCAAGCGCGGGCGUGGGCACGCGCGCGGACGGACAAGGGAGGCCACGGCGGUCAGGCACAGCGGCGAGUAGGACAGGUCUUUGGCGUGGCCGGAGCACGCGGACCCGCGUUGCGGAGCAGGGCAGCGGCCUCGGUAGCGGCUACAGCAGCGCAACAGUCAGGCAGCAGCUACAGCGGAGCAGAGGGCAGCAGAGGUCAGCGAGCAGUAGGCAGGCGCCGACGCAGCACCACGGCAGCGAACGGCGGCAGAUGUGCAUGGCGCAGGGGCGCGUCUCGGGCACGCAUGGAAGCGCAUCACGCCUAGACGGGCGCUACCAGGGGCUCGCGGGCGCACACGUGGAGGUGGGCGCGGCCGUGGUGAGCACGAACUCGCACAAGCCGGGGUGGCGGUGGUGCACGGCGGCAAACAACAAUGGGAGGAAGGGGGGAAAGAGGGGGAAUCAAAAGAGGAGCUCACUGCGAGGCCGAUGGAGAGCUCGGGGAGGCCGGAGGUUGCCGGGAUGAUGCGGAUCGAACGACGGCGUCGGACAACCAUGGCGGAGGAAGAAGGCGUGAGCGUCGUGGGUGAUACUCCCCAGCCUUGAUCCAGUAGAGUAGAAGAUGGAGACGACCGCGAUGGAGCUGCAGCACAAGCUCCAAGACGGCGGGGACCGCGGUGGCCGUGGCUAAGACGACGACCAUGGCGGUUGGGUACUCGGGCGCGUCCAAAUAGAAGAUGGUGAGCGAGAGAGCGAGGGGAAUGGAGCUAGGGUGCAUGUACGGGGUGGGGAGGGUCUUAUACAGCUUGGCGGCAUGCGGGAUGGGCGACGCGUGCGGUAGCCGCGCCAUGGACGACGCACAGGCGUCCACCAUGCUCCUGUGAGCAGUAGGAAGGAGAGAACCGGGGGCCAAGUGCCCGGUAGCUUAGUUUUUUUAGAUUUUACAUUUUGUUUACUGUUUUCUUUUAUAGCUAUUGUUUUGUAUUUAGUUUAGAUAUUAAAUGAUUUUAGUUACAGUCUAAACUUCCCAUAUAAUUACCUGCUGAUAUUUUUGGUGUUGUCCAAAAAGUUUGAGGUUAUUUGGAAAUGUUUGAAAAUAGGUUUAUAUUUAAAUGGGCAUAAUAAGUGUUGCUUGUCCAAUUAAAUUAUGCCUAGGGCAAUUUAAAAAUCCAUUUAAGGUUGGUUCCUACAUGUUAAAUACUUAGUGAAUAUUUGCAAACCCUAGAACAUUUUUAUUUGACAGCUUGAAGAAAUAAGAAUUUGACUUGUUAUUUGAAAUUUGAAUUUGAGGUCGGUUUGGAACAACGUGAGGAUUAGAAAAUUUUAAUUAUGAUGACAUGGCACCAUUAACAGGAGUUCACUGUAGCAUGACACCCGGGGUGUUACAAAUCUCCUCCACUACAAGAAAUCUCGUCCCGAGAUUUAAGAGGUGGUGUAAGGGGGAAUGUUCUAGUUUCGAAAUUCUAACGAGUCUUCUUGGUCUUUGUUGUUCUUCUUGGAGAGUUCGAUCCAUUGCGUUGAUGUCUUCAUUUCUUUGCAUCAUGUCAUCAUGAUGAAGUUGGCAUCCUUUCUUCGGAAACUCCAACGUACUUACAAAAGAAUAAAGGGGUAGCUCCGGAAGAACGGAACUCUACAAGGUGGCUAUCUGGUUUAUAACUCAGGGAAUGUGAUCGAUAGUAACUCUCGGGUUGAAACUUAAGAAAAUAUCGAGAGUAAAGUAAGAAGGUAAAUAAGAAGUUUCAAGCGGGUAGGAAAUUGUUCGAUGCGUGAAACAGGGCGUGAAAGGGGUAUAGAGCAACGGGGGAAAGUAUUGCAUCUGAUACCAGAAUAGAUCACUAGGAGGUGGCUCAUGAAUUACGUACGAGGCCACGCAUGAGGAAUAAGUUUGGAAAUAGGGGGUACAAGAGAGUCAGGUUUCGAUCCCAUGGAACUGUGGGUUAUGGACCCACCAUGUGGGUUAGAAAUAGGAGGAGCGGGGAUAUAUUGCACGGUUAUGAUAGCAAGGCAUGCUAGAGAAUAGCCUGUCAGUUAUGUCGGCAGCAACAUCGAUACCAAGGGCGAGAGACAAAGAGAACCAUUCUCCUGCUCGUUGAACGAGGCGGACCAAUAGGCAAGGUUCUCAUCCAUCGCCGGUUGCCGGAAUGUCAUCGACAGUAGAAACGGGGUCUCACUGACAGAGGUGUACACUGAGGUGUUUACAUAAGCAGUGAAUUAUUACUGCUUAGAUUAUAUAGAUCACAAGAAAGGUCAAACAAACCAAUGGAAAAGAGAAUGUGAUCAUUGGGUUAAACAGAAUAAUGGAAAGGAAAAAUGUGUUUAAACACAUAUUUCAGGGGUAUAUCCUUCCCAAGGACAAACAGAGCAUGAUAUCCAUGACAGGAUAUAACAUAUAAAACCCUUUAGGAAAGGAGAGAGAAAUAUCACGACAUUACCCAUACAACGGUGUUUGGGGGUAAUUAAUAAAGAAAUUUUAGCAUUGUGCUUCAAAUGUUCUUAUUGAAAAUCGGAGUACCACAUACAUGCUUCAAGAUAGCGUUGACAUGGUCUUUAAGCAAAGGUCAUACUUUGGAUACUCAAAGGAUCCAUCAGGACCAACCCAUAGAAUAAGUGUUACAAUUUCCUCAUGAAAGAACGGAUAACCUUGCUAAAAACGAAAACUAUAACAAUGGGUCCUCCGGCACGGUGCGCUAGGCAUGACAUCGCCUUACUGGGCUAUACAAAGUCCAAUGUUACGACUUUUGGAAAAUGUCCCAACCAUCGUAUCUGACCGAGAUUCAGUUCUGAUUGGUGUCAGGAUACCUCAUACUUAGGAUACCUGAGAAGAAAAGGCGCAAUAAAAAUUGACGAGACGACAUUGUAAGAUUCUCGAUAAAUGAACUAUGGAAGCAAGUUCAAAUCAUGAGUUCAUUAUUAAAUCAAGGAGAGAAUGAGGAGGUGGCUGAUGAACUCAGUGAAAAUUCAUCGAGAUUUUCAAAAGAUGGAUUUCCACAAUUAUGUGAACAAGGAGAUAGAUUUUGUCAGAUCAAAUGAUAUAAUGAGGUAUGCUCGAGGAAAACAUACACGAUUAAACAUUGGUUGACGGUGCACCCAAAAUACGGACUUAGGUAGCAUAAUCAAUGUUAGAAUGGUGAUUCGAUAACCAAUGGUCUAAGAAUGAAAUGUCGACCAUUAACUUCAAAGCAAUAAGGUUGCUAGAAGUUUUAAAAUUACUAGUCCAUAUGUCGGUAUUCCUGUUAGGAACAACACGGGGACCAAGAAAAGAAUGGUGAUGGUGAAGUAUCACUUAUAUCAAGAAUUCUCAAGAGGUGGUGAAAUUCUCACAACAUCCUUGACAAAAAGGCAGUAAUACUUCAAGGUAGAUCAUAAUACAAAAUGGAUAUCAAGUUGCAUCCAUAACAAGAACAAGUUUGUGAUGAAAGGAAGGUAAGGAUGUUGUCGAUGGUAACUCAAAUUAACAAGGGACGAGGAUGGAACUUAUCAUCAUGAAUUCGAUUGAUAUUCUGGAAGGAGUCAAAAUGUUGAUGAUGAUUACGACAAAUUUUGUCGAGAGGCUCCAUGAAGAAGCAAUCAAACAACGACUGCAUCAAGCCAAAGGACUAAUGUAGCGAAAGAUUAUUAGAACUAUGGAUACAACAUCAACUCGGAAUCAAGCUUGUUGUUCGAGGUGAAUGAUAAGACGAGGAAGAUCAACGUAAGCUUAGCUCAUCGUCGAAAAUUGUGCUCUGAGAAUAAGGACCAGGUAGCACAGUUAAAAUCAGCACGAUAAUGAUAUAGCUGAUCAGCCUAGGAAUGACUAGAGGGAUUAUUAAACUCGUAUGCAACAAAAAUUACUUAGAGUUAUGGAAUCGGAGUGUGGAAUUGAUUCACUUAUCGGUGUUCUCGAGUGAAUAAAAACUCAGAACUUGGGGGAAAAUUGGAAUCGGUGAGAAAUAACAAGUGAUGAAGAACUCAUAAGGGGAGAUGUAGUUCUGUGAUAUUCUCGAGAUACCAGAGGGUAAAACUCGAAGGUAGAACAGAGUAGAGGUCGGACAAGUGAAAUGAUCUGCAGAAGACAAGUACUUUAACUUGUCCGAGAAAUGGAAUCAAAGGAUAACAAUCAUGGUUGGAACCAUGGUUGCAAAUGACCAAACAUAGAUACCAGAUGAACUAAUAACAAGGGGACAAUUAGUUAUUUAAGAGAAGCUUCCAUGAUAAGAUCUACAUCGUGUCCAUGGGCAUGAACGCAAAGUUCAAGGUCGACUCCCACUUCUUCAAUGCAUAACCUUCCAUUCACUUCUUGCUUUCAAUGAAGUUGUGGUGUUGAAAUUAUAUCUGACAAAACACCAGAAUAGUAUGACUCGUGAAAACUCUCGGGUUCACACGGAUUAGGGAAGGCAUAGGUUCAACCCAUAGGGGCAUCAUAGGAACAUAUACCACAAACUUAAAUAGUAAAUAACACAAGCUCGAAAGUAGAACAUGGUUGACAAAAGGAGAGGAUACAAUUUACCAAAAGCAUUAUGUAUCAGGGAAGAGCUCACAAGGUGAUUAAAUAUGAGGGCACUAUCGGAUAAUAAUCCAACAAAGGAUCUGGUGGUCCAGAAGGGAUCUGACGUGAGUAUCAAUGUUCAACCACAAGAAGUAAUGCAAGGGCAUUAGAUUAUAGAAAUAUCUAGAUAACUUCAAUGCUUAGAUACAAAGGAAUUAUUAUUUCCAAAUCGGGGAAUCAGAAGCAGAGGUUCUGAUCAAAAGAUAAUUAAGUUGAAUAGUCAUAGGUCGACAAUCAAUCAAGGUUUGAUUUGCCGAGAACCAACUCAUGUCCGGCGUGACGUCUGAGGUCGGAAGAACAAAUUCUAGGUAUCAACUAUUGAUUGAGUGUGUUCGCACACAUGAUGAAUUAAUGGGGUCGGAAUUUCAAUGACAAAUGAUGUCAACGAAGAUUACAAGUCAUAUGGAAUUAACCAUAAUGCAGGAAGGCAAUAAUUUCAAGAGCCAUAGGCUGCAGAGGAUUCUCAAAAGAUUGAGUAGUAUUUCGAAGAAUUUUGUGAAGCACUUGGACAACUGGGGAUGGACGGAUCCCCGGUAAGUGCGUGGAAUUGUUCGUGUGGAUGUUAAUAUGGAAAAGAGCUGCAAAAGCAGUAGGCACAAAGGAUUCUCGGAAUAUCGGAGAAAUUUUCAGGGUAUGAAGUAAUAACAAGGGAAUCUAGGAACGAAGGUAUAAACGGCAAGUGUAAGUAGUUAUCCAUAAGGAUUUAUCGGUGGUUGGGAUAGCAAAAGCGGUGGGCACAAAGUCUCGAGAGACAUCGGAGAGUAUCUUCGGAAUCUUCUGGUGCGCCAAGUAAUCAUCUGGAGUGAGGGGCUCUCUGAGAGGAAGUAGUUACGAGAACCUAGAGUCAGAGUUAGUAAAAUCAUUUAACCCGAAUAGAAGAGAGAUCAGAGUCCCAAAGUAUAGGAGAGGAAUAAAAGAUCCUAAUACCACCCAAUGGCGACAUGGGCUCGAGCCGCACAACCAUGUUAGUAAAAGUUUUGCAAUGUCUAGACUCGACUUCAGCCAAGGAGUUUGGAAGGGGGAUUCCUACAGGCAGUCGGCUCUGAUACCAACUUGUGACGCCCCCGAUUCAAUCAUACACUAAUCAUACACGCAAACAUGUACGAUCAAGAUCAGGGACUCACGGGAAGAUAUCACAACACAACUCUAAAAAUAAAAUAAGUCAUACAAGCAUCAUAUUACAAGUCAGGGGCCUCGAGGGCUCGAAUACAAGAGCUCGAUGAUAGACGAGUUAGUGGAAGCAACAAUAUCUGAGUACAGACAUAAGUUAAACAAGUUUGCCUUAAGAAGGCUAGCAUAAACUGGGAUACAUAUCGAAAGAGGUGUAGGCCUCCUGCCAGGGAUCCUCCUAAACUACUCCUGGUCGUCGUCAGCAGCCUACACGUAGUAGUAGGCACCUCCAAUGUAGUAGAAGUGGUCAUCGACGGUGGUAUCUGGCUCCUGGAUUCCAUCGUCUGGUCGCAACAAUCGGGUAUAGAAAGGGGAAAAGGGGGAGCAAAGCAACCGUGAGUACUCAUCCAAAGUACUCGCAAGCAAGGAGCU
rnacentral:lncRNA from 1 species